UGUCCACAUGUUAUGAUGAAUGCUCAAAGUCAAAUCUGAAGAGACCCGCCCGAAGGCUGUCUGGCCCUGAGACCCACUCGUAGGCUGUCUGGCCGGUGCCGAGCCUAAUGGCCCCGUGGUAGUCAACAUCCCCACCCUAGGGAUGAGCCUACCCCACGGCAAUCCAUUUCGGCGCCCAAUCCCGCACGGCGAGUAUGUAUCGCGAUGGCUAUCUCCGGAGUGCCGGCUUGUAGGGAGCGACCCUCACAAGCAUGUGCGAAUGAGCACAAUGGCAAGUAGCAUAAGAUCCGUCUCAAGUACCAAGUCCUCAUGUCUA
rnacentral:lncRNA from 1 species